AACGAACGCUGGCGGCGUGGAUUAGGCAUGCAAGUCGAACGAGAUCCAGGAAUGUAGCAAUACAAGCCUGGUGACAGUGGCGGAAGGGUGAGUAACGCGUGGGCAAUCUGCCCUCAAGUUGGGGAUAGCUCUGCGAAAGCGGAAUUAAUACCGAAAUGUGGUCGUCCCGGGCAUCCGGGAUUAUCUAAAGCCGGGGACCCGCAAGGGCCUGGCGCUUGAGGAUGAGCCCGCGUCCUAUCAGCUUGUUGGUGAGGUAACGGCUCACCAAGGCUUAGACGGGUAGCUGGUCUGAGAGGAUGGUCAGCCACACUGGGACUGAGACACUGCCCAGACUCCUACGGGAGGCUGCAGUCGAGAUCAUUUGCAAUGGGCGAAAGCCUGACAAUGCGACGCCGCGUGC
rnacentral:rRNA from 1 species